UCCCCUCGCUUUCUCCCUCUGCUCCUCCGUCCGCUCCCGUCGGACGGGGACAUUGCAAUGAGGCGGGAUCGCGGCCCUAAGCCGGCCCUGGAUGGAGCUGGCGAGGUGGAACCAGGUGGGAUGGCAGGUGAGAGAGGGGAGCCAGGCCUAGAGGGGUUGGACCUGGUGAAGGAACCAAGUAGGAUGGGGCCGGCAAUUCGGGGACAUCUGAUACCCCGUCCUCUCCGCGGGGCUGUGCCGGGCCCUCCCAGUUGGGGAGCCAGGCACAGCCUCCCAGGAUCGACCCCCAGACUUCGUCCUGGUAAAAUGCCUCCUGGUUGCAGCCUCUCCCACGGGCCGUCCCAGACGGCUCCAACGCUACCUCCAGAGCGGCGAAUUCGACCAGUUUCGGGACUUCCCCAUCUUUGAGAGCAACUUCGUACAGGUGACUCGGUUGGGAGAAGUUGCCAACGAGGUCACCAUGGGGGUGGCAGCCUCCAGUCCAGCCCUGGAGCUCCCGGACCUAUUGCUUCUGGCCGGCCCUGCCAAGGAGAAUGGACACCUGCAACUCUUCGGGUAACUGCCCUCACCUCAGCC
rnacentral:sRNA from 1 species